rnacentral:sRNA from 1 species
GAACCGAUGAUUCGGCUGGCGUGCGCCGC